AUUCUUUUGUAGUUCAUAGGCGUGAUGAUUGGGUUUUCAUGCUCAUGUAUGACCUGUGCCUUCCUCAAACUUUGCUAUGAUGUUGACACAGUAUGUAGCUGAUA
ensembl:snoRNA